rnacentral:rRNA from 1 species
CCUACGGGGGGCAGCAGUGAGGAAUAUUGGUCAAUGGGGGGAACCCUGAUGCAGCAACGCCGCGUGGGUGAAGAAGUACUUCGGUAUGUAAAGCUCUGUCAGCAGGGAAGAAAAUGACGGUACCUGACCAAGAAGCCCCGGCUAACUACGUGCCAGCAGCCGCGGUAAUACGUAGGGGGCAAGCGUUAUCCGGAUUUACUGGGUGUAAAGGGAGCGUAGACGGCAAGGCAAGUCUGGAGUGAAAGCCCGUGGCUCAACCACGGGACUGCUUUGGAAACUGUGUUGCUGGAGUGCAGGAGGGGUAAGCGGAAUUCGUAGUGUAGCGGUGAAAUGCGUAGAUAUUAGGAGGAACACCGGUGGCGAAGGCGGCUUACUGGACUGUAACUGACGUUGAGGCUCGAAGGCGUGGGGAGCAAACAGGAUUAGAUACCCUUGUAGUC